AGGGGAGCGUUCUGUAAGCCUGUGAAGGUGUGUCGUGAGGCAUGCUGGAGGUAUCAGAAGUGCGAAUGCUGACAUAAGUAACGAUAAAGCGGGUGAAAAGCCCGCUCGCCGGAAGACCAAGGGUUCCUGUCCAACGUUAAUCGGGGCAGGGUGAGUCGACCCCUAAGGCGAGGCCGAAAGGCGUAGUCGAUGGGAAACGGGUUAAUAUUCCCGUACUUGGUGUUACUGCGAAGGGGGGACGGAGAAGGCUAUGUUGGCCGGGCGACGGUUGUCCCGGUUUAAGCGUGUAGGUGUGUGUUCCAGGUAAAUCCGGUUCACUUUAACACUGAGGCGUGACGACGAGGCACUACGGUGCUGAAGCAACAAAUGCCCUGCUUCCAGGAAAAGCCUCUAAGCAUCAGGUAACAUCAAAUCGUACCCCAAACCGACACAGGUGGUCAGGUAGAGAAUACCAAGGCGCUUGAGAGAACUCGGGUGAAGGAACUAGGCAAAAUGGUGCCGUAACUUCGGGAGAAGGCACGCUGACACGUAGGUGAAGUGAUUUACUCAUGGAGCUGAAGUCAGUCGAAGAUACCAGCUGGCUGCAACUGUUUAUUAAAAACACAGCACUGUGCAAACACGAAAGUGGACGUAUACGGUGUGACGCCUGCCCGGUGCCGGAAGGUUAAUUGAUGGGGUCAGCGCAAGCGAAGCUCCUGAUCGAAGCCCCGGUAAACGGCGGCCGUAACUAUAACGGUCCUAAGGUAGCGAAAUUCCUUGUCGGGUAAGUUCCGACCUGCACGAAUGGCGUAAUGAUGGCCAGGCUGUCUCCACCCGAGACUCAGUGAAAUUGAACUCGCUGUGAAGAUGCAGUGUACCCGCGGCAAGACGGAAAGACCCCGUGAACCUUUACUAUAGCUUGACACUGAACAUUGAGCCUUGAUGUGUAG
rnacentral:rRNA from 1 species